GAGUUUGAUCUUGGCUCAGAUUGAACGCUGGCGGCAUGCCUUACACAUGCAAGUCGAACGGCAGCACGGGAGCUUGCUCCUGGUGGCGAGUGGCGAACGGGUGAGUAAUGCAUCGGAACGUAUCCUGGAGUGGGGGAUAACGUAGCGAAAGUUACGCUAAUACCGCAUAUUCUGUGAGCAGGAAAGCGGGGGACCUUCGGGCCUCGCGCUCUUGGAGCGGCCGAUGUCGGAUUAGCUAGUUGGUGAGGUAAAGGCUCACCAAGGCGACGAUCCGUAGCAGGUCUGAGAGGAUGAUCUGCCACACUGGAACUGAGACACGGUCCAGACUCCUACGGGAGGCAGCAGUGGGGAUUUUGGACAAUGGGGGCAACCCUGAUCCAGCCAUGCCGCGUGAGUGAAGAAGG
rnacentral:rRNA from 1 species